GUACUUACUGCAGCAGCACACACACUAAAAUUGUAACCAUACAGAGAAGAUUAGCAUGGUCCCUGCACAAAUGAUAUGAAACUCAUGAAACAUUCCAUUUUUUU
rnacentral:snRNA from 1 species